UACGGGAGGCAGCAGUUAGGAAUAUUCGUCAAUGGGGGAAACCCUGAACGAGCAAUGCCGCGUGAGUGAUGACGGCCCUCUGGGUUGUAAAACUCUGUUGUUUGGAAAGAAUUGUUAGAGAAGGAAAUGUCUUUAACUUGACGGUACCAUUCAAGAAAGCCACGGCUAACUACGUGCCAGCAGCCGCGGUAAU
rnacentral:rRNA from 1 species